rnacentral:rRNA from 1 species
UACGUAGGGUGCGAGCGUUAAUCGGAAUUACUGGGCGUAAAGCGUGCGCAGGCGGUUUUGUAAGCCAGAUGUGAAAUCCCCGGGCUUAACCUGGGAAUGGCAUUUGGGACUGCAAGGCUGGAGUGCGGCAGAGGAGACUGGAAUUCCUGGUGUAGCAGUGAAAUGCGUAGAUAUCAGGAGGAAUACCGAUGGCGAAGGCAGGUCUCUGGGCUGACACUGACGCUCAUGCACGAAAGCGUGGGGAGCAAACAGGAUU